rnacentral:rRNA from 1 species
AUUGAACGCUGGCGGCAGGCCUAACACAUGCAAGUCGAACGAGUGGCGGACGGGUGAGUAAUGUCUGGGAAACUGCCUGAUGGGGGGGGAUAACUACUGGAAACGGUAGCUAAUACCGCAUACCAUCAGAUGUGCCCAGAUGGGAUUAGCUUGUUGGUGGGGUAACGGCGCAACAAGGCGACGAUCCCUAGCUGGUCUGAGAGGAUGACCAGCCACCCUGUAACUGAGACACGGUCCAGACUCCUACGGAAGGAAGCGUUGGGUAAUAUUGCACAAUUGGCGCAAGCCUGAUGCAGCCAUGCCGCGUGUAUGAAGAAGUCCUUCGGGGUGUAAAGUACUUUCAGCGGGGAGGCGUUACCCGCAGAAGAAGCACCGGCUAACUCCGUGCCAGCAGCCGCGGUAAUAC